rnacentral:rRNA from 1 species
GAUGAACGCUGGCGGCGUGCCUAACACAUGCAAGUCGAACGAAGCGCUUAAACGGAUUUCUUCGGAUUGAAGUUUUUGUGACUGAGUGGCGGACGGGUGAGUAACGCGUGGGUAACCUGCCUCAUACAGGGGGAUAACAGUUAGAAAUGACUGCUAAUACCGGAUAGGACUGCACCGUGAGGGUGUGGUGGAAAGUUUUUUCGGUGUGGGAUGGGCCCGCGGCCUAUCAGCUUGUUGGUGGGGUAAUGGCCUACCAAGGCGGCGACGGGUAGCCGGCCUGAGAGGGUGGACGGCCACAUUGGGACUGAGACACGGCCCAG